rnacentral:sRNA from 1 species
GUUUCUGUUUCUGUUUU